AUUGAACGCUGGCGGCAGGCCUAACACAUGCAAGUCGAACGCGUGGCGGACGGGUGAGGAAUGUCUGGGAAACUGCCCGUUGGAGGGGGAUAACUACUGGAAACGGUAGCUAAAACAGCAUACCAUAGGAGGUGCCCAGAUGGGAUUAGCUAGUAGGUGGGGUAAAGGCUCACCUAGGCGACGAUCCCUAGCUGGUCUGAGAGGAUGACCAGCCACACUGGAACUGAGACACGGUCCAGACUCCUACGGGAGGCAGCAGUGGGGAAUAUUGCACAAUGGGCGCAAGCCUGAUGCAGCCAUGCCGCGUGUAUGAAGAAGGCCUUCGGGUUGUAAAGUACUUUCAGCGAGGAGGCGUUACUCGCAGAAGAAGCACCGGCUAACUCCGUGCCAGCAGCCGCGGUAAUAC
rnacentral:rRNA from 1 species